ACGGUGACACGGGGCUUGCCCUGUCUGAUCAGUGGCGAACGGGUGAGUAACACGUGAGUAACCUGCCCUUGACUCUGGGAUAACCGCGGGAAACGGCGGCUAAUACCGGAUAUGAGACGUACAGGCAUCUGUUGCGUCUGGAAAGAUUUAUCGGUCAAGGAUGGGCUCGCGGCCUAUCAGCUUGUUGGUGGGGUGAUGGCCUACCAAGGCGACGACGGGUAGCCGGCCUGAGAGGGCGACCGGCCACACUGGGACUGAGACACGGCCCAGACUCCUACGGGAGGCAGCAGUGGGGAAUAUUGCACAAUGGGCGCAAGCCUGAUGCAGCGACGCCGCGUGAGGGAUGAAGGCCUUCGGGUUGUAAACCUCUUUCAGCAGGGAAGAAGCGCAAGUGACGGUACCUGCAGAAGAAGCGCCGGCUAACUACGUGCCAGCAGCCGCGGUAAUACGUAGGGCGCAAGCGUUGUCCGGAAUUAUUGGGCGUAAAGAGCUCGUAGGCGGUUUGUCGCGUCUGCUGUGAAAACCUGAGGCUCAACCUCGGGCUUGCAGUGGGUACGGGCAGACUAGAGUGCGGUAGGGGUGACUGGAAUUCCUGGUGUAGCGGUGGAAUGCGCAGAUAUCAGGAGGAACACCGAUGGCGAAGGCAGGUCACUGGGCCGCAACUGACGCUGAGGAGCGAAAGCAUGGGGAGCGAACAGGAUUAGAUACCCUGGUAGUCCAUGCCGUAAACGUUGGGCACUAGGUGUGGGGCUCAUUCCACGAGUUCCGUGCCGCAGCAAACGCAUUAAGUGCCCCGCCUGGGGAGUACGGCCGCAAGGCUAAAACUCAAAGAAAUUGACGGGGGCCCGCACAAGCGGCGGAGCCAUGCGGAUUAAUUCGAUGCAACGCGAAGAACCUUACCAAGGCUUGACAUACACCGGAAAAGUGCAGAGAUGUGCUCCCCGCAAGGUCGGUGUACAGGUGGUGCAUGGUUGUCGUCAGCUCGUGUCGUGAGAUGUUGGGUUAAGUCCCGCAACGAGCGCAACCCUCGUCCUAUGUUGCCAGCACGUCAUGGUGGGGACUCAUAGGAGACUGCCGGGGUCAACUCGGAGGAAGGUGGGGAUGACGUCAAAUCAUCAUGCCCCUUAUGUCUUGGGCUUCACGCCAUGCUACAAUGGCCGGUACAAAGGGCUGCGAUACCGCGAGGUGGAGCGAAUCCCAAAAAGCCGGUCUCAGUUCGGAUUGGGGUCUGCAACUCGACCCCAUGAAGUCGGAGUCGCUAGUAAUCGCAGAUCAGCAACGCUGCGGUGAAUACGUUCCCGGGCCUUGUACACACCGCCCGUCAAGUCACGAAAGUCGGUAACACCCGAAGCCGGUGCCCAACCCUGGGAGG
rnacentral:rRNA from 1 species